CAUCGCCACGGGAAUACAGAGGGUGCGAGCGUUAAUCGGAUUUACUGGGCGUAAAGCGUGCGUAGGCGGCUUUUUAAGUCGGAUGUGAAAUCCCUGAGCUUAACUUAGGAAUUGCAUUCGAUACUGGGAAGCUAGAGUAUGGGAGAGGAUGGUAGAAUUCCAGGUGUAGCGGUGAAAUGCGUAGAGAUCUGGAGGAAUACCGAUGGCGAAGGCAGCCAUCUGGCCUAAUACUGACGCUGAGGUACGAAAGCAUGGGGAGCAAACAGGAUUAGAUACCCCAGUAGUCCCUGUCUCUUAUACA
rnacentral:rRNA from 1 species